UCCACCAUGCCGACCCAGAGUUGUUUGUACCCUCAAUCCCUAAUUUCCCUAUUUUUCAUCAUCCCCUUCCCUUCGUUAUCGGCCUUAGAAUUUUUUGACGCCAUUCAAAGUUCAAAUCUCGCCUUUCUCUUUUUCUUCAGCUCUAUUCCUCUCUAUUUUUCCAAUCUGUCACUCCCACUCACAUGCUGACCUCAUGGAUUAUGAUCACAAACAUGCACACUCUUUGAAGGACCUUUCUGUGGGCUUAUCCAUUCUUGAUUCUCCCUCUCAACGUUUGAAGAUGACGAGCCAAAACCCUAGCCAAUCUCUAUUUCAAUAUCAUAAUAUAUCAUCUUUUGAUAAGAAUGGAGAUUUGAAUUCUGUAUUUGUUGACUCGAUGAUGGAGUCUGAUGAGGAGGGAAGACAAAAUUCAACAGUAAAAUAAGUUUUUGUCGAUAAAAAUACCGAAAAGAGAAAGAGGAAGUCCAAGUGGUGGAGUCAUUUUUCUGUUGAUGAGGAGUAUCCCACUUUUUCUACUUAUAUCGAGCGAAAGCAAAGUCCGAAAAAGUUGACGAAGUAAGAUUUACCGAGAGAGAGAUAAGAGAUUGGUGUUGACUAUUGAGGCUAAGGAUCCAAGAAGUAUGAAAAGAAAGGAUAAGCAAUAGAGACAACAUAACAUCAUCAGAGAUCAUAUCAGAAGAAAUUUAACUGUAGGUUCUUUUGUAAUAAUAAAUAGCGUU